UACAGGGGGGGGCAAGCGUUGUUCGGAAUUACUGGGCGUAAAGGGCUCGUAGGCGGCCAACUAAGUCACACGUGAAAUCCCCAGCUUAACCUGGGAACUGCGUGUGAUACUGGAUGGCUUGAAUCCGGGAGAGGGAUGCAGAAUUCCAGGUGUAGCGGUGAAAUGCGUAGAUAUCUGGAGGAAUACCGGUGGCGAAGGCGGCAUCCUGGACCGGCAUUGACGCUGAGGAGCGAAAGCCAGGGGAGCAAACGGG
rnacentral:rRNA from 1 species